rnacentral:rRNA from 1 species
GACGAACGCUGGCGGCGUGCUUAACACAUGCAAGUCGAACGGAAAGGGCCUGCUUUUGUCUUCUGCCCGAGUUGCUAGCGAGCGAGUAACUAGUGCGUAACCUGCCCUUGCUUCUGGGAUAACCUCCAGAUACUGACGACAAUUCCUGCCAGGUGCUCCUCCUGCACGGUGUGGGUUGGGGAGUUUCGGCGGUUGCGGUUGGUCUCGCGGCAUAGCAGCUUGUUGGUGGGGUUGUGGCGUACCAUGGCUUUGACGGGUAGCCGGCCUGGGAGGGUGACCGGCCACAGUGGGACUGAGGUAGCGCCCAGACUCCUACGGGAGGCAGCGGUGGAGGAUAGUGCGCGAUGGGCGGAAGCCGGAAGCAGCAACGCCGCGUGCGGGAUGACGGCCUACGGGGUGUAAAGCGCUUUCGCCUGAGACGAAGCGUGAGUGACGGUAAUGGGUAAAGAAGCACCGGCUAACUACGUG